rnacentral:rRNA from 1 species
UACGUAGGGUGCAAGCGUUGUCCGGAAUUAUUGGGCGUAAAGAGCUCGUAGGCGGCUUGUCGCGUCGAAUGUGAAAACUCGGGGCUCAACCCCGCGCUUGCAUUCGAUACGGGCAGGCUCGAGUUCGGUAGGGGAGACUGGAAUUCCUGGUGUAGCGGUGAAAUGCGCAGAUAUCAGGAGGAACACCGGUGGCGAAGGCGGGUCUCUGGGCCGAUACUGGCGCUGAGGAGCGAAAGCGUGGGGAGCGAACAGG